AGUAGCUGGGAUUACAGGAGGGACAAAAACUUAUACUCCACAUCUGUGCCCCAGUCUCCUCAGCUGGCAAAGUGUCUCUCUUGGGCUUCAGCAAAAGACCCCCACGCGUGUUUUGGGAGCAUCUUCCAAGGCAGGUUUCCAGGCUCAGAGCCCAGCUGGACCAUUCCCCUACCUGAGAGCAGCGCCUGAGUACUUCCAGCAGCUGGACAGUGUUCCUUUGUACACAGGCACAUGGCAAAUCACAUUUCUGGGACCUGCUGUUGGAUGGAGUGACUUUUGAUGACAGAGGACAAUCCCAGAGACAAGUCCUGGAUUGGGUUGGAAUGAAGCACUUCCCUCUCUCCAUUUGGGAAAGGAUUUCUUUCUCUGCCAGAUGCGUGCUUGUUCCAGGCAGUCAGUGGGUCCUUUCUCCAGCCACGGAGCCACCCUGGAAAGGGUCCUCGGCAGUUACAAGGCAUGAGAAGAGGGUUCUGCUUACCCAGUCCUUUGACAAACUUCAUAAGGCACAUGAUGUAGCUUGUGGCUGCAUUAGCAAAGACCUGGAUGUUGUCGGUAUUGAGAAAAGCUUCAAAUACAUCAAACACUGGAGCUUGGCCUUUUCCUAAGGGAGGAAGAUUAUAGAAUUGUAAGAAAGUAAGUUUCUGCCCUCGGGGUUGCCAGGGUUGCCCAUAUUCCCAGCACCUUCCACUGAGACAGAUCUUGAGAAAGAUCUACUGGGGAGAUGCCUGGGUUUUUUAUUGGAUCAUUGGCUUGACUCCAGUGCGGUGCUCAGCUCUGCCGGCAGGGGAGCAGCUCAGCAGAGAGAUGAGUGCCGAGCUGAGGCAAUGUGCUGGUCUAAAGAGCAGGGAACCACGUGGCCUCUGGAAUGCUACUGCACAGAAAUGAACUCAACACAGCAAUGCAUAAGUGAAACAACAGAAAUCUCUCAGCCUUAUUGCCCAAUUGUCAGCAAGAACAGGGCCUGACAAUGCUCAGGGCUCUCAGCCUGCUGGCAGAACUCAGAACUCAUGUUCCUGCUACACCACAUUCUUUCCUGCUGAUAAAACAUGGCUGACAAUCUGUCUUCCCUAUUGUUCAACUGGUUUUUUUUUUCAUAGCAUGAAACUUGGCACAGAGAGUUAAUGCUGAAUAGCAAGAAUCAUCCAAACAUUCUUACCCAUGGAGUAGUCACCAACCAGGUACUCCUUCACCUCCGACUUGUUCCCGCCGUGCACUGUUUCCAGAGCGCUGAACAAGGGUCUCCAUCCGGACUGGAUCUGCGUGGAACACACUUCAACCAGCUCACCAAUGGAUGUCACAACCUGGCAGAUGCAAAGCAAGGGGCACUUAAAGUCCUCUCCUUAAAAGGAGCAGAAUUUCUGGGAAGGGUGAUAUAGUUCUCUGUCCCCUAUUUUGGAGUUAAUUUUAGUGAAAAGGAAAAACCAGAAUAGACAAACUCACUCAAAAAUAUUCUGAAUAAUCUGCCUUAUUGUAUUAAUUUGCAUUUCACUAAUGACUAAUGCUACUAAGCAACUUUUCACAUCUUAUUAGUCAAAUAUUUUGUUGUUUUAAAAAAUUGGG